GGUUAAGCGACUAAGCGUACACGGUGGAUGCCCUGGCAGUCAGAGGCGAUGAAGGGCGUGCUAAUCUGCGAUAAGCGCCGGUAAGGUGAUAUGAACCGUUAUAACCGGCGAUACCCGAAUGGGGAAACCCAGUGUGACUCGUCACACUAUCAUUAACUGAAUCCAUAGGUUAAUGAGGCGAACCGGGGGAACUGAAACAUCUAAGUACCCCGAGGAAAAGAAAUCAACCGAGAUUCCCCCAGUAGCGGCGAGCGAACGGGGAGGAGCCCAGAGCCUGAAUCAGCAUGUGUGUUAGUGGAAGCGUCUGGAAAGGCGCGCGAUACAGGGUGACAGCCCCGUACACAAAAGCGCAUGUGCUGUGAGCUCGAUGAGUAGGGCGGGACACGUGGUAUCCUGUCUGAAUAUGGGGGGACCAUCCUCCAAGGCUAAAUACUCCUGACUGACCGAUAGUGAACCAGUACCGUGAGGGAAAGGCGAAAAGAACCCCGGCGAGGGGAGUGAAAAAGAACCUGAAACCGUGUACGUACAAGCAGUGGGAGCACCCUUUGGGUGUGACUG
rnacentral:rRNA from 1 species